rnacentral:rRNA from 1 species
CCUACGGGAGGCUGCAGUGGGGAAUAUUGGUCAAUGGACGAGAGUCUGAUCCAGCCAAGUAGCGUGAAUGAUGACUGACCUAUGGAUUGUAAGCUUCAUUUAUAAAGGAGUAAAACGCGGCACGUGUGCCUGUUUGCAUGUACUUUAUGCUUACGGAUGGGCUGACUCCGUGGCAGCAGCCGCGGUAAUACGGAGGAUCCGAGCGUUAUCCGGAUUUAGUUGGUUUAAAGGGAGCGUAGAUGGGUUGUUAAGUCAGUUGUGAAAGUUUGCGGCUCAACCGUAAAAUUGCAAUUGAUACUGGCAGUCUUGAGUACAGUCGAGGUAGGCGGAAUUCGUGGUGUAGCGGUGAAAUGCGUAGAUAUCACGAAGAACCCCGAUGGCGAAGGCAGCUUACUAAACUAUGACUGACAUUGAUGCUCGAAAGUGUGGGUAUCAAACAGGAUUAGAUACCCGAGUAGUC